CAGUCGCCGCGGUAAUACGUAGGGUGCGAGCGUUAAUCGGAAUUACUGGGCGUAAAGCGUGCGCAGGCGGUUUUGUAAGACAGGCGUGAAAUCCCCGGGCUCAACCUGGGAAUGGCGCUUGUGACUGCAAAGCUAGAGUGCGGCAGAGGGGUAUGGAAUUCCGCGUGUAGCAGUGAAAUGCGUAGAUAUGCGGAGGAACACCGAUGGCGAAGGCAAUCCCCUGGGCCUGCACUGACGCUCAUGCACGAAAGCGUGGGGAGCAAACAGGAUUAGAUACCCCCGUAGUCCCUGUCUCUUAUAC
rnacentral:rRNA from 1 species